rnacentral:rRNA from 1 species
UAAGGAAUAUUGGACAAUGGAGGCAACUCUGAUCCAGCCAUGCCGCGUGAAGGAAUAAGGCCCUAUGGGUUGUAAACUUCUUUUAGACGGGACAAAACCCCUUUACGUGUAAAGGGUUGAUGGUACUGUCAGAAUAAGCGUCGGCUAACUUCGUGCCAGCAGCCGCGGUAAUACGAAGGAUGCAAGCGUUAUCCGGAAUUAUUGGGUUGAAAGGGUGCGUAGGCGGACUAAUAAGUCAGUGGUGAAAGCCUGCAGCUUAACUGCAGAAUUGCCAUUGAUACUGUUAGUCUUGAGUACAGUUGAGGUAGGCGGAAUGUGUCAUGUAGCGGUGAAAUGCUUAGAUACGACACAGAACACCGAUUGCGAAGGCAGCUUGCUAAGCUGUAACUGACGCUGAGGCACGAAAGCGUGGGGAGCAAACA